rnacentral:rRNA from 1 species
AGAUUGAACGCUGGCGGCAGGCCUAACACAUGCAAGUCGAGCGGUAGAGAGGUGCUUGCAUAUCUUGAGAGCGGCGGACGGGUGAGUAAUGCCUAGGAAUCUGCCUAGUGGUGGGGGAUAACGUUCGGAAACGGACGCUAAUACCGCAUACGUCCUACGGGAGAAAGCGGGGGACCUUCGGGCCUCGCGCCAUUAGAUGAGCCUAGGUCGGAUUAGCUAGUUGGUGAGGUAAUGGCUCACCAAGCGACGAUCCGUAACUGGUCUGAGAGGAUGAUCAGUCACACUGGAACUGAGACACGGUCCAGACUACCUACGGGAGGCCAGCGAGGUAGGGAAUAGUUGGACAAGUGGGACGAAAGCCUGAU